rnacentral:rRNA from 1 species
UACAGAGGUCCCGAGCGUUGUUCGGAUUCACUGGGCGUAAAGGGCGCGCAGGUGGCUUUGCAAGUCUGAUGUGAAAUCUCCGGGCUUAACCCGGAAAUGGCAUUAGAAACUGUGAGGCUUGAGGCUUGGAGGGGGAACUGGAAUUCUCGGUGUAGCAGUGAAAUGCGUAGAGAUCGAGAGGAACACCAGUGGCGAAGGCGAGUUCCUGGACAAGUCCUGACACUGAGGCACGAAAGCCGGGGGAGCAACCAGG